UAGCGGCAGGCUUAACACAUGCAAGUCGAGGGGCAUCGAGAGAGUAGCAAUACUUUUGUCGGCGACCGGCGGACGGGUGCGUAACGCGUAUGCAACCUACCUUAUACGAGGGGAUAACCUUCGAAAGGGAGACUAAUACCGCAUAACAUUACUUUGAGGCAUCUUGAGGUAAUUAAAUCUUCGGAGGUAUAAGAUGGGCAUGCGUAGCAUUAGCUAGAUGGUGCGGUAACGGCGUACCAUGGCGACGAUGCUUAGGGGUUCUGAGAGGAAGGUCCCCCACACUGGUACUGAGAUACGGACCAGACUCCUACGGGAGGCAGCAGUGAGGAAUAUUGGUCAAUGGUCGGAAGACUGAACCAGCCAUGCCGCGUGCAGGAAGAAUGUCUUAUGGAUUGUAAACUGCUUUUGUAUGGGAAUGAUAAUAGCUUUGCGAAGUUAGAUGCAUGUACCAUACGAAUAAGGAUCGGCUAACUCCGUG
rnacentral:rRNA from 1 species